rnacentral:rRNA from 1 species
UGGGGAAUUUUGCGCAAUGGGCGAAAGCCUGACGCAGCAACGCCGCGUGGGUGAUGAAGGCCUUUGGGUCGUAAAACCCUGUCGAGAGGGACGAAAUUCGGGGCAGCGAAUAGCUGUUCCGAUUGACUGUACCUCUGGAGGAAGCCCCGGCUAACUCCGUGCCAGCAGCCGCGGUAAUACGGAGGGGGCGAGCGUUGUUCGGAAUCAUUGGGCGUAAAGGGCGCGUAGGCGGCCUUGUAAGUCAGAUGUGAAAGCCCUUGGCUUAACCAAGGAACUGCAUCUGAAACUGCAGGGCUUGAGGCCGGGAGGGGAGAGUGGAAUUCCCAGUGUAGCGGUGAAAUGCGUAGAUAUUGGGAGGAACACCGGUGGCGAAGGCGGCUCUCUGGACCGGUACUGACGCUGAGGCGCGAAAGCUAGGGGAGCAAACGGG